UGGACGCCGGGUGGUGCGUGGGCUGCCCCAACGUGGGUUCCCGGACCCGCAGUCACCGGGAGGGGGGUUGCGUGUCCCGUGUCCCGGAGCACGUGCCUGAAAGCCGGGUGUGACGCGCAAUAGCGCGGGGAGCACUGCGGCGGCGGCAGGAGCAGGAGCUGCCUAAAGAAUGGAUGAUGACGACUUUGGUGGCUUUGAGGCCGCAGAGACCUUUGACGGUGAGCAAGGUGGAAACCAAGCAGUGUCCCCUGCUGUCCCCUGGGCCACCUUUCCUGCAGGAGAAGCAUAAACAAGAGUUGGAAGACAUGCGGAAGGCUGGGCACGAGGCGCUGAGCAUUAUAGUGGACGAGUACAAGGCACUUCUGCAGUCCUCAGUUAAGCAGCAGCUAGAUGCCAUCGAGAAGCAGUAUGUGUCUGCCAUCGAGAAACAAGCUCACCGCUGUGAGGAGCUCCUGCAUGCUCAGCAUCAGAGGCUCCUAGAAGUGCUGGACACCGAGAAGGAACUGCUAAAAGAGAAGAUCCAGGAAGCUUUGACGCAGCAGUCACAGGAGCAGAAGGAAACACUGGGAAAGUGCCUACAGGAGGAAAUGCAGAAGAACAAAGAAACCCUGGAGUCCGCUGUGAAGCUUGAGAAAGAAGCAAUGAAAGAUGUCAUCACUAAAGCAGUGGAAGAAGAGAGGGAAAAUCUGGAGAAAGUUCACGCCGAAGAAAGAGAAAUGUGGAAGACAGAACAUGCAAGAGAUCAGGAGAGGGUAGCAGAGGCCAUCCAGGCCGCUGUGCAGGAGCAGCAGAGGAUGAGUCAGGAAGCCGUCAAGGCCGCAAUCGCAGAGGAGCAGAGGCGAAGUGAAAAGGCCAUGGAGGAAGCCGUAAAGAGAACAAGGGAUGAGCUGGUGGAGUACGUGAGGGAGCAGAGAAGGCUUGAUCAAGUCACCCGCCAGCGUAGCCUGUCCAGUCUGGAGCUGUUCCUCUCCUGCGCCCAGAAGCAGCUGAGUGCGUUGAUAGCUACGGAGCCUGUUGACAUUGAAUAGAGACACAGCUGAUCCGUCCUGGUCGUUAAGCCUGCCCACUCUGAAGCUGUUCGUCUCCUGGGCCCAGAAGCAGCUGAGUGCUCUAAUGGCCAUAGAUCCUGGUGGCAUUGAAUAAAGGGCACGUGAUGGGCUGCCUUGCCCUGGGCCAUUGCGUCAGUCACUAGACUUCUAAGUUAGAUGCUGUGACUUAGACAAAUGCUCUUGUUUCCCGUUUAAACCUGGAAAGCGGUUUCCAGUCCCAGGACAAGCCAGAGCAGUAUCCAGAAGACCCAUCAACAGAUCUAACUUACUCUCCGCUGUUUUAUCAUGAGUAGUGAUGGAAGAGUGUCUGUGACCCAAAGUCAAGGAAAAGUGGUGUGUUAUCCGAAGUUCAUCGGGUAAACCGUACAGCUUCAGGUGACCUGAUGACAUUGUAUUGGUAAAGGUUUACCUUGUGACCACCUCAAGGUGACGUGCAGGGAGCAACCACUGUGCAACCAUGCAUUUACUUGAUUCUAAGUAGUGAGAGCAGAAACAUUGGCUCAGCCAUUGUUCUGACUAACCUGUCCUCUUCCCCACACGCGACCCCACGUGUUCCCAUAGAUUUACCAAAAGUGAACAACACUGGCUGGCCAGGCUUCCGGCAGCUGCCCCAUGUAAACUGGGGUGUGUGGCCCAGGCUUGCUUCCUGCCUUCUUCAAAGGCUCGAGAUCAUGUUUCAUAAUCUAUUAUCUGGAAAGAGCAUCACUCAGACAUCUGCACAUCUAUUUAAUCAAACAACAGGCAUAAGGGGUGAACUGGGAUGGUCAUGCCUCACGAGCAGUGUGCUCCACAUCGUGAGCGGUUUGAACCUCCGGGGCACUGUGCUCGGCUCACUUCCUGCUCACUUCCUGCAGUGCUUCUGCUUCCUGGGGCUUUGUAUUUUUCUGGGAUUUCUCGGCAUAAUAAAAGGAACUCCAAAAGGUC
rnacentral:lncRNA from 1 species